UUCGCGACACCACUCUGUCGGUGACUUGUCCGAGCCGAGUGCCGUAAGCGCGGGCGUGGGCUGUGGCACCACGUGACCGCUUAUAAAGGGUGUGAAUAAGAGCGGAAGGCUCAAUCAGUGUGGGUGGUGGUGUGGCCAGCGUGGCAGUGGAGUUCCUUCGACAAUAGAGACGAACACCCGGUGAACUGCCGUUUGACACACGCAACGAAAUGCGUCGCCCCCUGCCAUUAGUCGUGAUUGUCAUUCUCCUCACGAUGACAUUAACCGUUAGAUUGUCGGUUGCCGACGACAUGAUGGGCGGCCGCAGCGGGCCGCUUGAUAGGUCUGGGCCUGAAGGGCGUGGUCAGCCAGAGCCAUUAGGCAGAGUUCAUGUCUCGGGACGGAUGAAACCGCGCAGAGGGAAGGGGCGGAGCGGUGAUGUCGACGACAUGUGAAGCAUCAUUUACAAAGAAGUCGUUGGAAUAAAAUUGCGCCAGCCCGUAAGAAGAGUUGGUAUUUUCAUGGA
rnacentral:lncRNA from 1 species